CUCAAUAAAUUUUGCCUCUAUGAUAAUUCCAUGAUUUGUAUUAGAUCACAAAAUCCCAGUCCAUGAAAAAAACAUAAGGGGGAAACGCCAAAAUAGGAAAUCAGAUCAGGAAAAAAAUGAAAAACAAUUUUACAUACAAACGAUUAAAUGGAGGAAAAACAGAAACAUAUGUGAGUUCUAAUUAGUUGUUGAUUUCUUUCUAAAUUGCAAAUCUACAAUAACAUUUAUAUAGAGAACUGAAAAUACUUAAUAUAAAACAUAAUUGAAGAAUACAGAAUGGGAUUUCAAGUAGAAGUUGACUUCAAGUUCUGCACAAAGACUGUCAAAUCUGGAGGGAAAGAAGGAGACAGGCCUGUAAGCCCAGACAGCCAAUCUAUCCCAGAAGGUGCACCAAAUGCUGGGGCAUAACUGCUCCCCCCAGACGAGUGUCCGUGGCUGCAGCAGCCAAAGGGAUCAAACUGUGGUGAAGCUGUUGCAUCCAGAGUUGGCCAGAGACCUUGCAGACACAUUCAGAUGGAACUGGGAUGUUAAUGGUGUUGGCAGUUAGUGCAGAAUUUUCAAAUGGAUAUUUCCAUUGUAGCUUGAUCCCCAAGGGCCAGAUCGCCUUUUAAAGUGGCUGCAAGCUGCGCUGCCUUCCAUUUGCCUCAGGAAACAAUUGAACAAGCCACCCUGAAGUUGGCCGGAUCCUCCUCUCUGGUUCCCUACAGACUGACUCUCUUUUUUUUUUCCUAAGCAGGCCAGGAGCCAGGCUGAAAUUCAACAAAAAACAAGGAUGGUUGAGUUGUUCUGAUUUAAUCAACAUUUUUAACAGGAGCCUCCGUGUGGCAGUGAUAGCCAGCUGUUCUCCCAAACAUUCGUGCUCCCCUCCCACAAUGCAAUCGCAGCUGGGAAUGGGUUGCCCCAGCACUGACUCCAUUUCCCAGCACUUUCACUUGCUUCUAAGUAGUGCUGUGGGACUAGUUCUCAGCAAUGGAAGAUAAGCAGAAUGGUGACUGUCACUUCUAACCCAAGGCGGCCAUAAGGUAGAUAAGCUUAUUCUACCCGCUCACUUCUUCCAUCUGCUGGCUGAAUUUUGUUGCCCAGAGAGAUUUCAGGAACCACUUCUUGAAAAUAACAGAAUCUCCUUGGGCUGGGUUUCCAAAUAGUGUUACCGAAAGUUCAGUCUCUGAUCUCAAAGCCAAUCCAAGUAACGAGACGAGAGUCUUGGGAGAAAAAGGAAAGGCUUUACUUUGCCAGGCAGAGGGAGAAAAGCAAAAGCCCAGUGCCCCAAAAAAGUUGCUUUCUCCCUGUUAAGAAACGGGUAGGAGUUUUUAUUGGGGGUUUUAGGUAGGGGACAAGGGCAGUGGCCUUCUUGGUCAGCAUUUUCCCAUCAGCCUGUGUCUGGGGCUGCUUCCAGAGGAGACAAAGGAUUUCUUGGGUGAGUGUCCUUGGCUGUUUCUCUCCAUGGUGGAGGGUACACUCUGACGUCAGGAAGCCAAGGAGUUGGCCCUGGGAAGCUUCGGUUUCUUGAUAUUCUGUGGACAUUAGUUUCUCUGUAAGAGAACUUCAAGGUCCUGUGAUUAGCCACAACUUUAGUGGGAGCCCAGCGUGAAGUCACCUGGACUUUAACAAUUUGUAACUUCUAUUUGGUUGUAAAGCUCAGGGAGGCAGAGGUUAAAGAAACAAACAUUUACAUAUGAGUGUAACUAAAGACCCAGGGACCUGGGAAUGUGCACCUUUAGUUUUAACCCUUACGUGCUGGGUUCACUGUAGGGGAACCAACCUCAGGGCUGAUAUUAACUAA
rnacentral:lncRNA from 1 species